rnacentral:rRNA from 1 species
AGUGAACGCUGGCGGUAGGCCUAACACAUGCAAGUCGAACGGCAGCACAGUAAGAGCUUGCUCUUACGGGUGGCGAGUGGCGGACGGGUGAGGAAUACAUCGGAAUCUACUUUUUCGUGGGGGAUAACGUAGGGAAACCUACGCUAAUACCGCAUACGACCUACGGGUGAAAGCAGGGGAUCUUCGGACCUUGCGCGAUUGAAUGAGCCGAUGUCGGAUUAGCUAGUUGGCGGGGUAAAGGCCCACCAAGGCGACGAUCCGUAGCUGGUCUGAGAGGAUGAUCAGCCACACUGGAACUGAGACACGGUCCAGACUCCUAUGGGAGGCAGCAGUGGGGAAUAUUGGACAAUGGGCGCAAGCCUGAUCCAGCCAUACCGCGUGGGUGAAGAAGGCCUUCGGGUUGUAAAGCCCUUUUGUUGGGAAAGAAAAGCAGCAGGUUAAUACCCCGCUGUUCUGACGGUACCCAAAGAAUAAGCACCGGCUAACUUCGUG